UACGUAGGGGGCAAGCGUUGUCCGGAUUUAUUGGGCGUAAAGAGCGUGUAGGCGGCUAGGUAGGUCCGUUGUGAAAACUCGAGGCUCAACCUCGAGACGCCGAUGGAAACCAUCUGGCUAGAGUCCGGAAGAGGAGAGUGGAAUUCCUGGUGUAGCGGUGAAAUGCGCAGAUAUCAGGAGGAAUACCGGUGGCGAAAGCGACUCUCUGGACGGCAACUGACGCUGAGGCACGGAAGCGUGGGGAGCAAACAGG
rnacentral:rRNA from 1 species